CCCCGGGCGGCGGCCGGUCGGCCGGAGCGCGGCUGGCCGUCGCGCGCGCGACCUCUUCGCUACCAGCGCUCGGUGAGGGCGGACGGCACUCGGUGUGCUGACGGUUUCUGGAAGAAAUUUCGACGGAUACGAGUGUUUGUCCGCGGUGUCUGGGCUUUCUCCCGGUGCCGAGUCCCGCCCGGCGGCUGCAGUGUCGACCAGAGAUUCCGGUCCGUGGUCGGAGCUCCGGCCGCCUCUGAACGCAUUGCGUUGUGUGAUCAGCCGUCUGGGGCGGUGCCGCCACCCCUCUGUGUUCGCUGGACGGCCACCGCGAGAGAGCGCGCCCCCGGUCCUGUGUCGGACCGACCUGUCAACAAACAGACUGGGAACGCUCAUGUGCGGCAGUACGUGCGCCGCCGUUGGUACCGAGACUAGAAGCGUCCAUCUGCCGGUCAAAACUGGACUGCGGCCGACGGGAACUCCAGAUCUCUCACAGCUCGCGGGUUGGUGAACCAGCCUGAUUGGGAAUCUGCGGCGGCCUCACACCUGGACGAAAGAUGAG
rnacentral:lncRNA from 1 species